GUCAGCGGCAGACGGGUGAGUAACACGUGGGAACGUACCCUUUGGUUCGGAAUAACGCUGGGAAACUAGCGCUAAUACCGGAUACGCCCUUUUGGGGAAAGGCUUGCUGCCGAAGGAUCGGCCCGCGUCUGAUUAGCUAGUUGGUGGGGUAAUGGCCUACCAAGGCGACGAUCAGUAGCUGGUCUGAGAGGAUGAUCAGCCACACUGGGACUGAGACACGGCCCAGACUCCUACGGGAGGCAGCAGUGGGGAAUAUUGGACAAUGGGCGCAAGCCUGAUCCAGCCAUGCCGCGUGAGUGAUGAAGGCCUUAGGGUUGUAAAGCUCUUUUGUCCGGGACGAUAAUGACGGUACCGGAAGAAUAAGCCCCGGCUAACUUCGUGCCAGCAGCCGCGGUAAUACGAAGGGGGCUAGCGUUGCUCGGAAUCACUGGGCGUAAAGGGCGCGUAGGCGGCCAUUCAAGUCGGGGGUGAAAGCCUGUGGCUCAACCACAGAAUUGCCUUCGAUACUGUUUGGCUUGAGUUUGGUAGAGGUUGGUGGAACUGCGAGUGUAGAGGUGAAAUUCGUAGAUAUUCGCAAGAACACCAGUGGCGAAGGCGGCCAACUGGACCAAUACUGACGCUGAGGCGCGAAAGCGUGCGGAGCAAACAGGAUUAGAUACCCCUGGGUAGUCCACGCCGUAAAACGAUGAAAUGC
rnacentral:rRNA from 1 species